rnacentral:rRNA from 1 species
AGAAUCAACGCUGGCGGCGUGCCUAACACAUGCAAGUCGAACGCAAGGGUCCCGCAAGGGACCUGAGAGUGGCAAACGGGUGAGUAACGCGUGGGCGACCUACCUCAGAGUGGGGGAUAACCUUCCGAAAGGAGGGCUGAUACCGCAUGACAUCCCGUGUUUGGAUACACGGAUAUCAAAGCCGGGGAUCGCAAGACCUGGCGCUUGGAGAGGGCCCGCGUCCGAUUAGCUAGUUGGUGGGGUAAUGGCUCACCAAGGCUCCGAUCGGUA